rnacentral:rRNA from 1 species
UACGGAGGGAGCUAGCGUUGUUCGGAAUUACUGGGCGUAAAGCGCACGUAGGCGGCUUUGUAAGUUAGAGGUGAAAGCCCGGGGCUCAACCCCGGAAUUGCCUUUAAGACUGCAUCGCUUGAAUCCAGGAGAGGUGAGUGGAAUUCCGAGUGUAGAGGUGAAACUCGUAGAUAUUCGGAAGAACACCAGUGGCGAAGGCGGCUCACUGGACUGGUAUUGACGCUGAGGUG